GCCGAAGUGGUGGAACUGGCAGACGCGCUGGACUCAAAAUCCAGUGGUAGCAAUACCGUGCGGGUUCGAUUCCCGCCUCCGGCA
rfam:Clostridium estertheticum subsp. estertheticum strain DSM 8809, complete genome.